rnacentral:rRNA from 1 species
AUUGAACGCUGGCGGCAGGCCUAACACAUGCAAGUCGAACGAGUGGCGGACGGGUGAGUAAUAUAUCGGAACGUGCCCAGUAGCGGGGGAUAACUACUCGAAAGAGUGGCUAAUACCGCAUACUCUUGGAGCGGCCGAUAUCGGAUUUGCUGAUUGUGUGGGUAAAGGCUCACCAAGGCAACGAUCCGUAGCUGGUUGGAGAGGACGACCAGCAACACUGGGACUGAGACACGGCCCAGACUCCUACGGGAGGCAGCAGUGGGGAAUUUUGGACAAUGGGGGAAACCCUGAUCCAGCCAUCCCGCGUGUAUGAGAAGGCCUUCGGGUUGUAAAGUACUUUUGGCAGAGAAGCGGUAUCUGCAGAAUAAGCACCGGCUAACUACGUGCCAGCCGCCGCGGUAAUUC